GACGAACGCUGGCGGCGUGCUUAACACAUGCAAGUCGAACGGAAAGGCCUCUUUCGGGGGGUACUCGAGUGGCGAACGGGUGAGUAACACGUGAGUAACCUGCCCUUGACUUUGGGAUAACUUCAGGAAACUGGGGCUAAUACCGGAUAGGAGCUCCUGCUGCAUGGUGGGGGUUGGAAAGUUUCGGCGGUUGGGGAUGGACUCGCGGCUUAUCAGCUUAUUGGUGGGGUAGUGGCUUACCAAGGCUUUGACGGGUAGCCGGCCUGAGAGGGUGACCGGCCACAUUGGGACUGAGAUACGGCCCAGACUCCUACGGGAGGCAGCAGUGGGGAAUAUUGCACUAUGGGUGGAAGCCUGAUGCAGCAACGCCGUGUGCGGGAUGACGGCCUUCGGGUUGUAAACCGCUUUCGCUCAUGACGAAGCUUUGUGUGACGGUAGUGGGUAAAGAAGCACCGGCUAACUACGUG
rnacentral:rRNA from 1 species